UGAGGCUUUACGUCUUGUAAUUGAAAUGAGAACAAUCUAAAUCCCUUACCGAGUAUCAAUUGGAGGGCAAGUCUGGUGCCAGCAGCCGCGGUAAUUCCAGCUCCAAUAGCGUAUAUUAAAGUUGUUGCAGUUAAAAAGCUCGUAGUUGGAUUUCUGGGAGGGUGCCAAUGUCCGCCGACGUGCGUGCGCAGCGGCGCCCUUCCAUCCUUCUGUUAACGCCUCUUGGCAUUCAUUUGCUGGUGGCGGGCUCAGAUAUUUUACCUUGAGAAAAUUAGAGUGUUUCAGGCAGGCUAGGCCGGAAUACAUUAGCAUGGAAUAAUGGAAUAGGACUACGGUCUCUUUGUUGGUUUGAGGGACUGCAGUAAUGAUUAAUAGGGAUAGUUGGGGGCAUUAGUAUUUAAUUGUCAGAGGUGGAAUUCUCGGAUUUGUUAAAGACUAACUUAUGCGAAAGCAUUUGCCAAGGAUGUCUUCAUUAAUCAAGAACGAAAGUUAGGGGAUCA
rnacentral:rRNA from 1 species